CCUUAGAACUUAUAUCUCAAGGUGGGUGGCGCAUUUACGUUGUAGAUUUCGAUGGGCUCGAGUAACCACUUAACACCAGGUGGGCUGUGAGCUCGUCCACCCAUCUAAGCAAUAAAAAAAAUUAGAUUCUUGUCAAUUUCUGUUUCCAAAUGCUCGUGCCUGAAAACUCUUUUUCAACGGCCAUCAAUUAAAAAAAAAACUUUGCAACUUUUGGCGGGAACGCAAGGAGCGAAAUUGCGUGAAUUAUUUUAUUUUGUUAACUUAGUGUUUCAACGUGUAAUAAUCGUGGUUUUUAACCUUUCACAUCUCUGAAAAUCUGAAAUAUAUAAUAAUAGAAGUUUUUUUUUAACUCGAAACUGGCAACAAUGGUAUCGCAAGCAGCCAGUUGGCAUAUUACGGACAAAAAGAAGAAUCUAUACAACGAUUAGUAUUUCCACUUCAUGUUCUAUUUGAUACAUGCCACAGAAGCACAAUUAUUACUAUUGUAAAUUGAAUAUAAUCAUGGGCAGAUAUUAGAUUCCAAUGAAAAAUAAUCUUAUCAAACCCUAUCAUAUCUUUGCUGAAUAGUAAUCCUAAUCAUACAAUGUAUGCCGCAAAAAUAGACAUGCACAGAUACAAUUUGCGACGCCGCGCCGCAGUGAUUUUUUUUGUUAAAAAAAGGGACAUCUUCAGAAAGACACGCUGUGCGCCAAUGUGAUAUUUCUAGACUUAAUUCCUAUUAAGAACAAGUCGAUGACUGGUUAUGACUUUUAGAAAAAUUUAAAUAAUCCUUCGAUAA